rfam:Salmo salar isolate Sally breed double haploid chromosome ssa13, whole genome shotgun sequence.
AAUUAAUAUUUUUGUAAGUCGCUCUGGAUAAGAGCGUCUGCUAAAUGACUAAAA